UAACUUAAUGGUAGAGUAUUUCGCUUACAACGAAAAGGUUAGUAGUUCAAAUCU
rnacentral:tRNA from 1 species